GAUGAACGCUGACAGAAUGCUUAACACAUGCAAGUCUUUGGCGAAGCUGUGCUUGCACAGCCUAGCCAAGGCGGACGGGUGAGUAACGCGUAAGGAACUUGCCCUGCAGUCAGGGAUAACAGACGGAAACGACUGAUAAGACCUGGUAAAGUCAGUCGGACUCAUGUCCAGCCUGAUGAAAAGAGAUGCUGCAGGAGAGCCUUGCGGCCUAUUAGCUUGUUGGUGGGGUAACGGCCCACCAAGGCGAUGAUAGGUAGCCGGCCUGAGAGGGUGGACGGCCACAAGGGGACUGAGAUACGGCCCUUACUCCUACGGGAGGCAGCAGUGGGGAAUAUUGGACAAUGGGGGCAACCCUGAUCCAGCAAUUCUGUGUGCACGAUGAAGGUUUUCGGAUUGUAAAGUGCUUUCAGCAGGGAAGAAAAAAAUGACGGUACCUGCAGAAGAAGCGACGGCUAAAUACGUG
rnacentral:rRNA from 1 species